rnacentral:lncRNA from 1 species
UUUUAGUUCUAAACCCUAAUACCCAAUCACAGUUUCUUCUCCACCACAUCGAUACCCACUUUGUAUCUGGCACCACCAUCGCCGAUCACAGCCCUCCUCAGUCGUCUUCUUCAAUCGCCGGUCAACCACUGCCCUCAACCUCCAUCUCCGUUCUGAGCCACAAACAUCGUCGCACACAACCAACCCCCGUCGCCGGUUACCCACCACCGGCGGUCGUCUUAACCUCCGGCUCCAACCUGAAACCCACCGCCAUCCACUCCGUCGCGCACCCCAUUCGCACUCCGACGCCGGCUCCGUUUAGGAAUAACAUCAGAUUAGAGUUGCGUAUCACGACUCGGUUAAGGCAUGGAUUCGUGGAAAUAUGAGUGAAACGAAACGAACAACCACAACCGCCUUAGUAGAUUCCUUGCACACUGAUCUCUGAGCCUCGAGGACGAUGCUAUAUCUUAAGCUUGGGGAGGUUGUGAUUAGAGGUAAUGUCCGUAUUCCCAUCUUAGCAUGCAUUAUUUAGUUUGUAAAUAGUUGCAUAUAGUUUCAUGUUGCAUGUUCAUUGCAUUUAGGGGGUAUAUACGUACAUUAAAAAAAAAAAAAAAAAAAAAAAAAAAAAAAAAAAAAAAAAAAAAAAAAACCCGUUUCUGUUCCGCUCAAAAUGGUUUGUGAAAAAUGAGAAAUGAUAUGAUUUCUGGCAUGUCAAAGCUUAUCCGUGAAAUGGUAACUUUGGGGAAGAAAACAUAGAUAAUUCGGGAUGUGUUGAUAGGCUCGGCCCUAACUUAGGAACGCCAAUGUUGUAUGCAAUAACCUUAAUUAUAUAUAUAUGUGUUUAGUUUCCCAUCUUGAUGCUUGUGGUUAAAGACUGAUCCCGACCAAAAAUCGGUUGAGUUGCAUAUCCUCUAUCACACACCAUGUUCCCCAUAUCAUGACACCUCCGUAAUUUCAUUGAAAAAAAAAAUAAAGAGGUGAAAAAUUGACCUCAUAGGUUAUUAUAGUUAAAAAAACAAAAAAUAAAAAAAAAGAGAAAAAAGAAGGGGUAAAAGAGCACAAUGUAUGCCAAAAAUUUGAAAAAAAGAAGUCGAAAUAAAGAAAAAAAUAUUUGAGCAAAUUAGGGAGAAAAGUCCCGACCCCUUGAAAAACGGAAAAAAAAAAAGAUAAUAACUAUCGUGUCAUGGUUUGGAUGCAUGGUCGCAUCAAGUGUGGUUUUGGAAAUCUUCAAAAGUCGUGAGGUUGGGUAGAUGUUUGCCAUAGGUGUUGGGCAUGGGGACGAUUAAACCAUGUUGGUAAGUUUGUAUAUUAUUAAGCAGAAAGCAUUUGGUUGUGAUUAAGCGGGUUUGAGUUUAAAGGGACACAAAAUAUCAACAAUCGCGGUUACACGUAUUAGUAUUUCCCGGGUUCGAAUUAAUGUAAUAAGAGUUGACAAUGUUGGAUGUGAUCUCAUUACAACUUUGUUUUCCGGAAUAAAAGAAGCGGGUUGAAAAAAAAAAUAGUGAGCAUGCAUAUGUGUAUUAUUUCUCGUGUUUAUUUCUCGGUUUAUUCUUAUUCUUGACUUCCUUGAGGACAAGGAAAGGUUUAAGCUUGGGGAGAUUUGUUAGUUGCAUUUUUAGGCACGUUUUUGUAGCAUAUUAAUAAUAAAAUUUCAUCACAUAUCAUGCAUAUUUCAUAAUAAUGCCUCAUAAUUUUGAAAUACACACGUUUUUUGGAACGGAAUCUACUUCGGUCGUUUUUAAUGAUUUUUGUAGGCAUGGAGUAAUUGCAAGUGCCGAUAACGAGUAUUGGAGGGAUCGACUGAUUAUGGAGGAAGCGAGUUAAGUUGAAUAAAUUGGAAAGAGAGAAAAAAUCGGUCGAUGGUCAAAAGUUCAUUUUAUCUCUAGUAUGUUGGGCUUAAAGUAUAUUGGAAAAAGAAAAACGUAGAGAAGGAGGGGAUUAGAAGAGAUAGACUUGAAAAAAAAAAUAACCAACAACUUUGAAAGAAAGGGGGGAAUUUUGGGGAUCCAUCGGUGAACGACAGCAUCAAAGAAAAAAAAAGAAGCAUUUUUCUUGGGAGGAUUUUCUAGAACAUCAAUUAAUUUUUGGAGUUUUUGGUUUUCGUAAGUUUGAAUUCUAAUAUUUUAUUUAGUAUUUGUAUUGAUUGAACUAGCAAUCAUGUCCGGCUAGUCUUUUACAGUUUCGACAUCGGGGUUUAGUUUGUUUGAUUUGGUUUAUAAACUUAUAUGAAACGGUUAUGUUAGAUUCAAUUAUUUUAGUGGUUUGUUUGUGUGU